GUAUUGCUGAAGAGUCCAAAAUAGGACGAUACAGCUGUCCAGCAC
rnacentral:hammerhead_ribozyme from 1 species